GCUUAUGAGUAGAAUUGAUUCUCCGUGUGCGCCGUGUGCGGAUAGCUUGCUAUGCGUGUGUGGCUGCGUGUGGAUUGAGUCGAGACGUAACUUAUUGCCGUUCGGGACGUUGACGAAAUGGAGCGAUUUGACCCGUCUUGAAACACGGACCAAGGAGUCUAACAUGUGUGCAAGUGUUAGGGUGUGGAAACCCCAGCGCGUAAUGAAAGUAAAGGAUAGCGCAAGUUAUCUGAGGUAGGAAAUGCUGCGGGUUCGUCCUGCGGCGUGGCACUAUCGACCGAUCAUGAACCCUUGUGGUGAAAGAUUUGAGUUUGAGCACAUAUGUUGGUACCCGAAAGAUGGUGAACUAUGCCUGAGUAGGGUGAAGCCAGGGGAAACUCUGGUGGAAGCUCGUAGCGAUUCUGACGUGCAAAUCGAUCGUCAAACUUGGGUAUAGGGGCGAAAGACUAAUCGAACCAUCUAGUAGCUGGUUCCCUCCGAAAUUUCCCUCAGGAUAGCAGCAACUUAUUUACGAUAGUUUUAUGAGGUAAAGCGAAUGAUUAGAGGAUUCGGGGAAGAAACUUUCUCGACCUAUUCUCAAACUUUAAAUCUGUAAGACCUGCAGGUUUCUUUUUU
rnacentral:rRNA from 1 species